GACGAACGCUGGCGGCGUGCUUAACACAUGCAAGUCGAACGGAAAGGCCCUGCUUUUGUGGGGUGCUCGAGUGGCGAACGGGUGAGUAACACGUGAGUAACCUGCCCUUGACUUUGGGAUAACUUCAGGAAACUGGGGCUAAUACCGGAUAGGAGCUCCUGCUGCAUGGUGGGGGUUGGAAAGUUUCGGCGGUUGGGGAUGGACUCGCGGCUUAUCAGCUUGUUGGUGGGGUAGUGGCUUACCAAGGCUUUGACGGGUAGCCGGCCUGGGAGGGUGACCGGCCACAUUGGGACUGAGAUACGGCCCAGACUCCUACGGGAGGCAGCAGUGGGGAAUAUUGCACAAUGGGCGGAAGCCUGAUGCAGCAACGCCGCGUGCGGGAUGACGGCCUUCGGGUUGUAAACCGCUUUCGCCUGUGACGAAGCGUGAGUGACGGUAAUGGGUAAAGAAGCACCGGCUAAGUACGUG
rnacentral:rRNA from 1 species